rnacentral:rRNA from 1 species
CCCGCUGAACUUAAGCAUAUCAAUAAGCGGAGGAAAAGAAAAUAACAAUGAUUACCUCAGUAGCGGCGAGUGAAGAGGUAAAAGCCCAAGAUGUAAAUCUGUGCAAAAACACGGAAUUGUAAUCUAUGGAAUAGCUCCGAAGGUCAAGGCGCGUCAUAAGUUCUUUGGAACAAGGCACCAUAGAGGGUGAAAGUCCCGUCUUUGGAUACGCUGAGACGAUAGGAGAUGUUUCUAAGAGUCGGGUAGUUUGGGAAUGCUGCCCUAAGUGGGAGAUAAACUUCUCCUAAGGCUAAAUAUUUAUAGGAGACCGAUAGCAUACAAGUACUGCGAAGGAAAGAUGAAAAGAACUUUGAAAAGAGGGUUAAAAGACUUGAAAUCGUUGAAAAGGAAGCAGUAAAAGAGAAAUGAGUCACUUUGGAAUUACUGGGCGUCAUAAGUUACGCGGUGGAGAGUACUUAACAGGGCUCUUGCCGUUGAAUGAAAGACGCGCAAGUUUUCCAAGGUGACAGGCAAAAUGAGAUCUCGCUGCAAGAAUAAGGUUGGUGUGUACUCGUCAACUUGAAGCUGCAACGGGGUCUGAGGGAUUAUCUAAUGAUUUUGCCAAAAUGGCUUUUACUGACCCGUCUUGAAACACGG